rnacentral:lncRNA from 1 species
UUUUUUUUCUUUGUCAGGUGAUUUGUGUUCCAGAAAAGGGUAAGGAGUGUGGGCGACCGAUCCAGUGGGUUUUUUAUUUUGGUUAGUUAUAUUAGAACCAGGUCAGAUUUUCCAGCCCGACCCAUUUUUUUGGGCAAACAAACAUACAAUUGUCGUAGGUUUAUGGACACACAGCUGUCAAUAUUUGAUUUGUCUAGAAAUUUGAAUGUUUUCCAAUUGUAAAUCAGUCAAAUGCUAAAUAGAUAGUCCCUUCUUUUAAACCAACAAAUUUGCAUCACGCGCGGUUGUGCCCAAACACAAAAUACAUCAGCAAACUUCACACGUGCUUCGCCCUGCCUCUGCCUUCUUCCUCCCAACGAAGCACCGUCCAUUGCGUCGGCCUAUCCCCACCCACGACGACCCCUUGCCGUGGAUCCGCACAUGGCAUCCCCACCCACGACGACCCCUUCCAGUGGAUCUGCGCAUGGAGCAAUGCCAGCGUCGGGCAAGGCAGAUGCGUUGGUGCGGGAACGGAACCCCGAGCAAGAGAGGUCGCACAGCUGCGUGCCGAGGCAGGAGGCUGAGGAGCGGAUGUGUAGACAGCUCAGGGGGACAAGUGAUUAGGAUGAGAGUAUAGGACAAAAAAAUACACAUGAUACAUAAAUAGGGAAAUCUCAAAUUCAUUGUGUAGAUCGGGUACGGGUAUGUGAUUGUGCCUGAAUGAAGCCUUCACACGUACCCAAACCUGACGGGUGUCAUCCCUACUUCCAUGUCAUGGCUAAGAACAGAACAAAUCACUUCAACCCUCCUUUGGUUUGUAGGAUUGUAUGAAUUCUAUAGCAUAGAAUUUUCGAAGGAAACAUUCCUUUGGAGCCAUUUGGUUUAUACGAACGGAUUCUUGUGCCUAUGUAGUAGGAACCAAUCCUUCACAUUUCAAAAUGAAAAAAGCAUUAGCCCAAACUCAAUUAAAAAAUUCCUAUGAUAUGCAUUAAACGACAUUUUUUUUCCUUUUUUAUAGGAAUCAAGAUACAUGUCAUCUCAUUUGACAUGAUUUUCUUAUUCUUGUUCAUAUCUCUUUCGCGUGAUGCACAUAUAUCUGACUUCAAUACACAGGAAAUAUGAAUAAAAUGCCUUCCGCAUGAUGUGCAUAUAUCUGACUUCAAUACACUGGAAAUGCUUCUGGUGGUUCAGUUAAAACCAUACAUCGAUGUAUCAAUGGCAUAUUAUCUGACUUUACACUGUUCUUGUUCUUUUAGUUAUAAGGUGUAUCAGAAUGACUUGCAAUCACAGACGAAGCAUAGAGAUUUGUUGUUCAAAACUUCAAAUGUCUUGCAUGCUUGAUCAAGUUUGCAAUGGUUUCAAAGUAUUCAUGCCCAAUAUAGGGCAUCUGCUGGAGCAAAAGAGUUUCAGGUGAUGAAAAAUAUUCUUUCUUGUGAUGUAAAUCUACUUUUUGUGCGCCCAAUUACCAUCACAAACACAGUAGGUACAUAAAUUUGCACGCACAGAAUAUGUAAAACUAGGUUCCGUGAACCAAAAUGUUUAAAGAAACUCUGCAUAAGCAUCUCUGAAACAUCCAACAGAACAAACACGAUAUGAUAUUUAAGGUAUCUCAGACGCGGCACACAGAUAUUGCACAGAAAACAGUUAUGAACUUCAGAUGCUCCAAAAUCAGGCUAACCCUUCAUAAUACCAGAAAGCUAAAGCUUCAUGUCAGACCUUCACUUCUUGGCCUUGGCCUUCUUUG